CGGGCCCACCACCACUCUGGCAUCCCCAGCCUGUCCCCGCGGCUCCUCCUCCUUCCCCGGCCCUGUGGCCUGCCUGCUGUCCAGCAUUCUUCCCCAGGGCGCUGUGGCGCGGAGGGAGGACUCCCCAAACCCCGGGAACAGAGCCUUGCGGAGGACCCCGGAGGAGGAGGAGGAGGAGGGACGCGGACGGGACUGGGAGAUUCGGUCGGGAAGGGGACAGGGCCUAGAGCCCGGGGCUAGAAGGCAGGACACCUGGCUUCGGUCUGGGCUCGGCCUUUGACUACGACGUGACCUUGAGGACGGUUCCUUCCCUUCGUGGGGCCUGGGUCCCCUUCGGAUGACAAAAAGCAGUCUUCAG
rnacentral:lncRNA from 1 species